CGAGCAGGUGCGAAAGCAGGUCAUAGUGAUCCGGUGGUUCUGAAUGGAAGGGCCAUCGCUCAACGGAUAAAAGGUACUCCGGGGAUAACAGGCUGAUACCGCCCAAGAGUUCAUAUCGACGGCGGUGUUUGGCACCUCGAUGUCGGCUCAUCACAUCCUGGGGCUGAAGUAGGUCCCAAGGGUAUGGCUGUUCGCCAUUUAAAGUGGUACGCGAGCUGGGUUUAGAACGUCGUGAGACAGUUCGGUCCCUAUCUGCCGUGGGCGCUGGAGAACUGAGGGGGGCUGCUCCUAGUACGAGAGGACCGGAGUGGACGCAUCACUGGUGUUCGGGUUGUCAUGCCAAUGGCACUGCCCGGUAGCUAAAUGCGGAAGAGAUAAGUGCUGAAAGCAUCUAAGCACGAAACUUGCCCCGAGA
rnacentral:rRNA from 1 species